AUGGCCCAGCUUGCACGCGCAAGUGUGCACGGCCCAGGCGAGCCCCAGAGCGUCCAUGGCAACAACCAGCUUCAGCACCGAGGUGAGCACGAACUGGUUCACCUCGUGCCCCUCCCGCCGCAGCCUCCGGAACAGCGCCGUCGCCUGCUCAAACUUCCCCCGCAGCGCGUGGGCCUGGAGGUGCGUGACGAAAGACACCAUGUUCCGCUCCGGCAUCCCGUCGAACACCCUGCGCGCACCGGCGAAGGGCCCGAGCUUGGCGUACAGGUUGAUCAGGACGUUGGCGCAGAGGAGGUCGAGGCCGCCGCCCCGCACGACGUGGCCGUGCACGGCGCGGCCGCCGCGGGCGUCGCCGCGCGCGACGCAGCCCUGCAGCAGCCUGGCGCACGCGUGCGCGUCGACCCCGGGCCCGCGCCCGGGUUCGGGGAGGGCGAGCGAGGUGAGCUCGUCGUCGAGCCACUGCAGCGCCGCGUUGGCCGCGAGGUCGCGGCGGGGCGGAUGCGUGUGGUGAGAGACAGCCGGGAGGAGGAGGCGGCUCGCACGCCGGAUCAUCGGCCGUGGCAGGACUGGCGGGCGGCAGCGGCAGCGCACCGACUAGUAGAUUUUUUGGUCUCAGUUAUUACAGUCCAAAUGCCCGGUUGGGCCCCCGUCUACCGAAUUAGGGUCGCGGAAGAGGAUGCAGCCCACGCGAGGUUGGUGCUGGAGAGCGGCCAGGCAACAGUCCCGCUGAUGUAUUAG
rnacentral:rRNA from 1 species